UACGGAGGGUGCGAGCGUUGUCCGGAAUCACUGGGCGUAAAGGGCGCGUAGGCGGCCACCGCAAGUCGACUGUGAAAUCUCCGGGCUUAACCCGGAAAGGUCAGCCGAUACUGCGGGGCUAGAGUGCAGAAGGGGCAACUGGAAUUCUCGGUGUAGCGGUGAAAUGCGUAGAUAUCGAGAGGAACACCUGCGGCGAAGGCGGGUGCUGGGCUGACACUGACGCUGAUGCGCGAAAGCUAGGGGAGCGAACGGG
rnacentral:rRNA from 1 species